GACGAACGCUGGCGGCGUGCUUAACACAUGCAAGUCGAACGGAAAGGCCCUGCUUUUGUGGGGUGCUCGAGUGGCGAACGGGUGAGUAACACGUGAGUAACCUGCCCUUGACUUUGGGAUAACUUCAGGAAACUGGGGCUGAUACCGGAUAGGAGCUCCUGCUGCAUGGUGGGGGUUGGAAAGUUUCGGCGGUUGGGGAUGGACUCGCGGCUUAUCAGCUUGUUGGUGGGGUAGUGGCUUACCAAGGCUUUGACGGGUAGCCGGCCUGAGAGGGUGACCGGCCACAUUGGGACUGAGAUACGGCCCAGACGCCUACGGGAGGCAGCAGUGGGGAAUAUUGCACAAUGGGCGGAAGCCUGAUGCAGCAACGCCGCGUGCGGGAUGACGGCCUUCGGGUUGUAAACCGCUUUCGCCUGUGACGAAGCGUGAGUGACGGUAAUGGGUAAAGAAGCACCGGCUAACUACGUG
rnacentral:rRNA from 1 species